GGAAAAUUCCAUAGGAUUUGGUUUCAAGUAAAAGUAAAAUUAAAAAACAAAAAAGGAAAUUAUACAAUAACUUACAAGGAAAUCUUGUUGCUUCAAAUCUAGACCUGACAAAUAGAGCUCAAACUCUUGUACAUCUCUGAACUAGCAAAAGAGAAUUCUGAUAGAGCCCUGAAGAGUUCUGGCAGCUGAUUCUUAAGGCUAACCAACGAUUUCUCCCUCACAUGAAGGCAUUGCUUCGCAUGAGUUUCCUUUUCCUCCUCCAGUCUCUUCUUCAACGAAUC
rnacentral:misc_RNA from 1 species